CCCAAUUGCAAGUGCCUUGUGCAAUGAUGUUGUGAAUAUGUGCAUUGCCAAAACACAAUUACUGGGAGGAGAGACAAACUGUUGGGAAUGUCAUGUUAUGCCAAAUUGAGAAUUAUUAACUCUUUCUUUCUCUGCGCAGUCUUUUCAGCUAUAACUCCAUAUAUUGCAUCUGGCUUAUAUUUUGACUCUGCUGGAACUAAUGUGUCCUUGGAGUUGCAUUUUUAGAGUAAUUUCAGAUUUGUAUGUGUUGUCGUUGUUUUUGUGUUGUUUUUUUUCCUCCACCAGGCUGCUUUAAACUGUUGGGAUUAACGUCAGAGAAGGCAAGAGAUACAGCCUCCUUUGUCAGCAACUGUGUUGGUUAAAAAGGAGGCUUCGUGCACACUUGCUCUCUCUUUUGCAGGUUAUUGCUCCCACUAAGCAAGGAAGUUGAACUGUUUUCCUGAGCACACCCAGAAUUAAUUCAGCCCAAGCUGAUCAGGUUAUCACAUGCUGGUUACUGCUGGCCUGGGUCAUUCUGAUGGAAGAGCAGGAAGCACACAGACCAGCUGCACCAAUGCUUUGGGGUGUCACCAACAGGGGAGUUGUGGAGCUGGUGAUGGUGGUUUGGUGUUUUCAGCAGGUGCAGCUGCGUCUCUAAGGUUGAAAUAAAUGCAUGCAACUCGUGCGAUUCAAAGUUCUGUGCAGCCUGGGGAGAUGGUACUGGCUCUUCAGCAGCAGGCUCAGGGGCACAGGCACUGCAGACGGGAAGCAGUUGUUUGCGCUUCAACUUCUGAAUCUUGUGCAACUGUGGUUUUGGCCAACUUGGGUAUCUUCUGCUCUCAGGCAAGCAAUAUGUUAUCAGUGAGGUCCCAAAUGCCAGGUAUGAUUAGCUCAUGUUUAGAGUGGUGUUGUUAUGUUUUGACGUGUAUGUGCAAGCCUGCUUUCAUGCAGAAGAACAUAUUUGACGUGGGAAGAAUGCUGUGUGAUUCAGAAAAAGUUAGAAACAUUAUUUAAAGCUGUGCACUAGUGUUUUAGAUUUCAUAAAAGGCCACAAAGUUUUUAUUUCUACGUUUAUGAUUGAUUAGGGUUAGAGUUUUAAAAGCUUAACGCUGGCUACAAGUGCUUUGUAGUCAGUCACUGAGAAUUAUAGGCUUGGCAUAAUUCACAUUUCUAUUCUUCAGUAUAUCCAUUAUUGUUAGAUGCUGAGUAGUCAUUGCACACAGAUGACUGAUUUUUUAAAAAUUUUAUUUUACAGUUUUACACAUGUGGAAAAAUACUUUGUUAAAGCAGCUCCUGGGUGAACGGGGUAAUUAAAGAACUGCGCCGCUUUUAUUGGAGUUGACACAUGCUGCACGUUCUUUAAAACCCAGUAUGUGAGCAGAAUGCUUCCAGGAUUUAUUGCCAGUCAGACAAGUAGAGAUACUUUUAAUAGGAGUAAAGAUAACUUCAAUUUUUACACUGUUAAAUAAAACUGUCUUAAGGAAGAGAACUAUGACUGUGAUACAUUGCUCAUGCCCUUGUUUUUUUUCUGUAUAUAUGCAUUUUGUAGACACACCUGCACACAAAUGCUGGAGACGUGAGCACUUUUAUUUGACAGUAAUUGCAUGUUCUGUUUUUACUUAUCUGGAGAAAAAAUAGUGUUGUAAUGCCGACUGAGGAUCUUAGUUUGCUUGGUGCCAGAGGAAUCCUGCAGUUGGUUUCUUUAUUUAAACUGAAAUGCAAUCCUCCUUAGUUUGACUUGCAGCUCUUAGUGUCUGAGAGCUUGGUGUAGCAAGCAGGGAAUCUCACGUAAUGUAAAUUGGAGACUUGGUUUUGUUUUGAAUGAUAUGAUGAGCGCAAUGUUCUGCUUGCAUAAUGCCUUACAAGUUGUGAAAAAAAGUAGACUCAUAACUGCAGCACAGAGCGACUAAGUGCACUGUACAUGAAAUCCCUCAAAAUGGCUAUUGAACAGAUACAGUUACUGACAGCGUCAUUUCUAGUGAUGCGAUCCAUUUCCUUUCCUCUGCUUUCUUUUUCCAGCAUAUUGGAACAAUUUGAAGUCCAUUUGAGAACACUCAGUCUGCCUUUCCUGUUAACAGCUCAUGUCCUAAAAGUAUCUUUAGCAUUCCUUUUUUAAAACUACAAAUAUGUGUUUAAUGAAGAGUUCACAAACACAUAGCCCUCAAGAUCAAGCCAUUUCUUAGCUCACUUUGCAUGCCUUUUGUUCACACAGCUCGCGGUGUGGAGCACCCUGCCAAGCAUUCUCUGCUCCUCUGAGCUGCAGUGAGAAGUGGAUGACCAGUGCUGCACACAGCUAAGCACCCAGCCUUAUCAGCAAGCGUGCUUUAGGUAGGUACGGGUGCAAAGUGCUUUCCUGAAGGAGCAAGCAGGUGUGGAAAAUAUCAGAAGGCCAGGUUCUUCUGCUGUGACUCCUAAAAGCAAGCCCAGCACGGGGCUAACACUGUCAGCAGCAGCCACACCUCUGCCAGCCCCAGACUGUGCCAGGUGGGUGGAAGCUGUGUGCCUGGGAUCAGUGGAAAGGGACACAGCAGGGGAGGCAAACGUGCUGUUUCUUGUUUUCUGAAUGCUUCCAGGUUAAAGCACAGCCGUCUACAUCUCCACGCUGAGGGCGAGGAAGUCACAGAGUCGCAGUGUUGAGCAGCACAGUGGCUGGAGGUGAUUUUUUAUUUUUUUUUCUUCUCCCAAAGUCUUCUUUUAAAAUAGUUACAAUUACAUCACAGACAACUUUUGCGUGGAAAGCCCAGUAUGGCAAUGUUAUUUAAUAAGAAAUGCUUUCGCAACAUUAAAUUCUUAGUAGCAUCAUGUAUCAUCUGUAUUUUGUGUUGUUCUUACAGCUAUUUGGCUUAAGACCAUCAUGCUUUCGCUUUGGUAUUUUGGGACAUUUAAACUGUUAAACUCCAAGCACUUUUCAGGCAUUACGUUUGACUUACUAUUACUGCGUACUAUAAAAUAUAAUAAAACACAAUAUUAAAGUCUA